rnacentral:rRNA from 1 species
UACAGAGGUCCCAAGCGUUACUGAGAAUCACUGGGUUUAAAGGGUGCGUAGGUGGUCCGUUAAGUCAGUUGUGAAAUCCCCGGGCUCAACCCGGGAACUGCUUCUGAUACUGGCGGACUUGAGGCCAGUAGGGGUCACUAGAACUGACGGUGGAGCGGUGAAAUGCGUAGAUAUCAGGAGGAAUACCGAUGGCGAAGGCAGGUCUCUGGGCUGACACUGACGCUCAUGCACGAAAGCGUGGGGAGCAAACAGG